rnacentral:lncRNA from 1 species
CAAUUUAGAGCCCUUUGAAAUCAUUUCUUCAUAUCCACAUCGGAUCUUAUCAGAGGAGCUGCGCGCAGCGGCAGGGGCGGAGAUGUGGGUUUUGUUCUUGGCUUCCUUUCCCCGCCCCCUCAGUAGGUCUCGCCCCCUCCCACUCAGCCCCCAAGCCUGAGCAGAGAUCUGCUCCUCUCUGAAGUUAAUGGCUGUAAGAAGAUUUCAUUUUAUUAUAUCUCCAACAGCCCCAAUAUUUUAAAUUUGCCUUUGACAAACUUGGAGCCCUGGAAUCAUCGUUUAGGAAACAAAGCUUCACCGGGAGCUUUUAAGAAGGAUUUUUUCCCUUCAGUUUUAGCAGGCUAGUAAAAAUCAAUAACCAGUGUUCCCAUCUGUAGACCACCUGACGUCUCAUGAAUGGGCAAUGCAGCCUGCUCCUGCCGCUGAAGCUCCUGCGAGAGAGUGGCCAGCCUGGCCAGGAGCGGAGCACCGUGCUUCUUUUCUGCCAAUUGAAAGACCUCUCUCCCUGGUGGCACUUUUCUGGGGGCUUCCUUGUGGGGCAGGUUGGGUCUUCCCUGAUGGAGUCUAGAAUGGCCAAAUCAAGGGCAGGAAAAUGGUAGGGUGGGGAAGGGGAGAUGCUGUCUGAGCCCAGAGAUGAUCUAACCCUUUGUCCCUGGAUGGAUUCGUUAAGCAGGACAAACCUAGGAUAGAGAUUUGGAGGGUAUUAUUCCAGGGCAAUUAGCCAGGCGUUCCAGGAUUCAGGAAGCUGUCGAUUGGUCCAGGCUGGUGCCAAAGGGUUUGGGACCCAAACCUCUGCCUCAGCAGCCCCUCAAUGGACUAAAGCAGGGGCAACAGAAAAACAGCUCCACGGCACAGACAUGCCCCUGACUCCUAGGUACCAAAAAGAUGCAGGCCUGUGCUACUGCCCAGGGGCAUCUAAAUGCACCCUGUGGGGCAGCCCAACACAGCUACAGUGGCCUUCCUGCAGCCCAGGCACCAGAAGCAAAUGUGACUCCCAAACAAUGGAGCUGACAUACACGAGCUGCAAUGGCCAAGGGACGCAUGAAAAACAGGUCCCAGAACAAGAGCCGAAGGGAGGCGGGGAGACAUGAAACACCCCACCCCGCCCCACCGGAGGCCUUUUCAAAGCCACAGACUGAACCAUAUUGUCACUCCCAGGCCAAGUUUAACUUCUAAAGAAAUCUUUUCAAGAUGUUCAAAGCAGCCGAGUGCAGUUUAGCUCUAAGCGCUACCAUCUGCCGCUGCAGGCAGGCCCAUAAUCCCAGGCUCGGGCAGAGGCCCUGCAGCAGGGUGGCCUGCUGUGCCCACUGGAGAAUGCACAUUGGGCAGCAAGUGACAAAGGGCUGCUGGGGCUCUUGGGCUCCUGGGCAGCGGUGCACGGAGCACUGCAGGGUCUGGGCGUAGCUAGGGCUGCAACACUUCUGUGCCCACACCCUGCACACCUGGGCCAGAGCCAAGGCUGGUGGUGCUUGCAUCCCAGAGACCCCACCACCAUCAGGAACAGGAAGAGAGGGCCCCCGGUCCACCACUGAGGCCUGGAAUUCCUUAAUGCCAGAAUUUCAAGGCAGAUAUAUACAGACAUACCUGAUUCUAAACACAAACCUGCCUUCUUUUUUAUCUCUUGUCAUCAUGAGUUGGCAUGAAAUUAAAUAGUGCUCAUUUUACCCUGAGAAUCAGUGCUCUUUAUUAGUCAUAUGUCAUUAACCAUCUCCCCUCGUAUGUCCAAUGUCAAGGAAAUUCAAGACAGGCCAGAUCUGUUAUUCCAGGGCCAUGAGUAGUGUUGGUGCAUUGGAGUCCAUUGAAGGAAGAGGAGCAGGUGCCAAGACCUAGUAGGUUGGGGGGAGAGGCCCAGGGAUGAACUCAGGAAUAAAGGAGGUCAAGGAGACCCCAAGGCCCACAGUGGAGUGGGGGAAAGCAAAAGUCAGCUGGAGACAGUGCUACGGGGGACUCAGUCAUGCUCUGGCAUCCUCUGAAGAACACUGGAGUCCUGAGACCCAGGCUGAUGUCAGCAGGAGAGUGAGCCCAGGAUCCCCUGGAAGUGUCUGCCCCAGGUGCAGGGCGGAUAUGGGAGCAUGGAAGCCAGUGCCCAACAGGCUGAUCAACUAAAAAAGACUGUGACCAUCAGUCUUAAGCAUUGGCUGCCCAACUUGAUAUACUGUGCCCUGUCUAUCGAAGGAAGCUAAGAGUCAGGUAGGAGAGGAGUCCCGAAGCUCCAUCCAAGAGUAAGAAACACACACUCAGAAGUCGCUGGAUGCACAACCAUGGGCAGGUCACUCUGCCUCAUCUGUGAAGUGGGUGUGGCUGGCGAUAAACAAGCACAGCUGCAGGGGCGUAUACAUGUUAAUACAUGUGAAGUGCUAAGCACCUUGUACAGGGCAUAGCGGGAGUGGGUGCCUGAUACAGGACAGCCAUCAUCAUUACUACUGUUCCCUUACUUAUCACAGGAGUAAGAGGGUGGCCAUCUCAGAUGAUAUCUUGGCUGGUUCAGAAAACAGAAAGCAACUCUUGGUCCCAGAACAAAGCAGGAUCCCUCUCCCCCAGAGCCAGAGGCUGCGCCAGCUGUGGAUGCCAGAGCUUAUUUGGCAGACCCCCUUACCACCACCCCCCAACCUACUUCCACUGGCCUGGGCACCACUCGCCUGGCGGUUUGGAAGAUCUGAGACCACCCGCCAGGAUGCUGGGAGCUAGAUUUCCCGUGCAGAUGCCUGUCAGAAGCUCUGUGGGGAGAAACCCACCCCUGGGGCUCUGCGCAGCCACAACCGCCAGGCAUGCUCGGCAGCGGGUGUGUUUGGAAUCGAGAUUCAGAUGGGCUCCAACUGACCCAGAAGGAGCAGCAUGGACCUGAUGACAGCCCAGUGGCUUUGGUCACAGAGGGCAAUGACUGAGCUGUACGAAAAGAGAAGCAGGAGAUCAGUUUGGUUUGGGGUUUUGGUUUUGUCUUUUUUAUUUUUUCUGGUGCCAGCCCAGAGUCUGGGUGAUGACACUUAAAAUUCCUGAAAAUCUUCAGCUUCUGCUUCAGCCAGACGGCCCAGCCUGUCUCCCUGUCCAGAAGAACGUGAUUUCUCAGGAGUGUCAAGUUCUUGGCUUCAUCCAUCCCUUUCCUGCAGGGCCCCUUCCACGCCACCCCAUCCACAUCCUGUUCAGGUCAGUAAACCUGGAGUUCACCUGAGCAGCUCAGCUCCUUGGAGGCUGUGUGUCCAUGAGUAGUGUGUUGCAGGUCCUAUGGUGUGUGUGCAUGAGCUUGUGCGUGUGUGUGUGUGUGUGUGUAUAAGCGUUUUCCUUAUCACCAUGAUUGGGGGAGACACCACUGGCAUUUAGAGAAUGCUCUCCAGAAGCUAUUGGAGAGCCAGAUGCCUGUUUUCCAAUUCCUAUUCUAUUGCUAAUCAUGUAAAUGCCUCUGGCCUAAGUUUCCUCAUCUAUAAAAUGGAGAUAAUAGUGGUACCUGCUUCCUA